UCGGGAAUCUUGCACAAUGGGCGAAAGCCUGAUGCAGCAACGCCGUGUGAGUGAGGAAGGCCUUCGGGUCGUAAAGCUCUGUUGUUGGGGACGAAGGGCGAAGGGUUAAUAGCCCCCAGCCUGACGGUACCCUUCGAGGAAGCCCCGGCUAACUCCGUGCCAGCAGCCGCGGUAAUACGGAGGGGGUUAGCGUUGUUCGGAAUUACUGGGCGUAAAGCGCACGUAGGCGGACCAGUCAGUCAGAGGUGAAAUCCCAGGGCUCAACCCUGGAACUGCCUUUGAUACUGCUGGUCUCGAGUCCGAGAGAGGUGAGUGGAAUUCCGAGUGUAGAGGUGAAAUUCGUAGAUAUUCGGAGGAACACCAGUGGCGAAGGCGGCUCACUGGCUCGGUACUGACGCUGAGGUGCGAAAGCGUGGGGAGCAAACAGGAUUAGAUACCCGUGUAGUCC
rnacentral:rRNA from 1 species